rnacentral:tRNA from 1 species
GCGGGCGACGUUGCGCUUGAAACGAAGCAUUGUUUUUGCUCUUGAAUUCGAUAGCUUCCCAAGCUGAACGCACGGGUUCGAUUCCCGUUACCCGCUCCA